UGGGGAAUAUUGCACAAUGGGCGCAAGCCUGAUGCAGCCAUGCCGCGUGUAUGAAGAAGGCCUUCGGGUUGUAAAGUACUUUCAGCGGGGAGGUAGGGAGUAAAGUUAAUACCUUUGCUCAUUGACGUUACCCGCAGAAGAAGCACCGGCUAACUCCGUGCCAGCAGCCGCGGUAAUACGGAGGGUGCAAGCGUUAAUCGGAAUUACUGGGCGUAAAGCGCACGCAGGCGGUUUGUUAAGUCAGAUGUGAAAUCCUCGGGCUCAACCUGGGAACUGCAUCUGAUACUGGCAAGCUUGAGUCUCGUAGAGGGGGGUAGAAUUCCAGGUGUAGCGGUGAAAUGCGUAGAGAUCUGGAGGAAUACCGGUGGCGAAGGCGGCCCCCUGGACGAAGACUGACGCUCAGGUGCGAAAGCGUGGGGAGCAAACAGG
rnacentral:rRNA from 1 species